rnacentral:rRNA from 1 species
UCCAGAGGGUGCAAGCGUUAAUCGGAGUUACUGGGCGUAAAGGGCGCGUAGGCGGAUUUGUAAGCCAGUUGUGAAAUCCCCGGGCUUAACCUGGGAAUGGCAAUUGGGACUGUGAGUCUAGAGUCGAAGAGAGGGAGGCGGAAUUUCCGGUGUAGCGGUGAAAUGCGUAGAUAUCGGAAGGAACACCCGUGGCGAAGGCGGGCUCCUGGCUUCAGACUGACGCUGAGGCGCGAAAGCGUGGGUAGAGAACAGG